rnacentral:rRNA from 1 species
UACGUAGGGGGCAAGCGUUGUCCGGAUUUAUUGGGCGUAAAGAGCUCGUAGGCGGUGUGUCGCGUCGGCCGUGAAAACCUGCAGCUUAACUGUGGGCUUGCGGUCGAUACGGGCAUCACUGGAGUUCGGCAGGGGAGACUGGAAUUCCUGGUGUAGCGGUGAAAUGCGCAGAUAUCAGGAGGAACACCGGUGGCGAAGGCGGGUCUCUGGGCCGAUACUGACGCUGAGGCGCGAAAGCGUGGGGAGCGAACAGG